rnacentral:rRNA from 1 species
GACGAACGCUGGCGGCGUGCUUAACACAUGCAAGUCGAACGGAAAGGCCCCCUUGUGGGGUACUCGAGUGGCGAACGGGUGAGUAACACGUGAGUAACCUACCCUUGACUUUUGUAUAACUUCAUGAAACUGGGGCUAAUACCGGAUAGCAGCUUCUGCUGCAUGGUGGGGGUUGGGAAGUUUAGGCGGUUUGGGAGGGACUCGCGGCUUAUCAGCUCGUUGGUGGGGUAGUGGCUCACAACGGCUUUGACGGGUAGCCGGCAUGAGAGGGUGACCAGCCACAUUGGGACUGAGAUACGGCCCAGACUCCUACGGGAGGCAGCAGUGGGGAAUAUUGCACAAUGGGCGGAAGCCUGAUGCAGCAACGCCGCGUGCGGGAUGACGGCCUUCGGGUUGUAAACCGCUUUCGCCUGUGACGAAGCGUGAGUGACGGUAAUGGGUAAAGAAGCACCGGCUAACUACGUG